UACGUAGGAUGCAAGCGUUGUCCGGAGUUAUUGGGCGUAAAGCGCACGUAGGCGGUGCGGUAAGUGUGGUGUGAAAUCUGCGGGCUUAACUCGCAGCGGUCGCUGCAGACUGCCGUGCUUGAGGGCUGGAGAGGAAGAUGGAAUUCCCGGUGUAGUGGUGAAAUGCGUAGAUAUCGGGAGGAACACCAGUGGCGAAGGCGGUCUUCUGGCCAGUUUCUGACGCUGAGGUGCGAAAGCUAGGGGAGCGAACGGG
rnacentral:rRNA from 1 species